rnacentral:rRNA from 1 species
ACGAUCUCGAUAGCCAUGCAUGCCUCCGACUAGAAGAGCAAUUCUCUCCGAAUCUGCGAACGGCUCCGCAAACCAGUUGUAAACCAUAGCGAGCAUGCCCUUGGUCCGGUCGAAAGGCUGGGUCUUGGGCAAUAAGGAUAACCCUGGUAAUUCUGAGGCUAAUACAUGAACGCAAAACCUGGCUGACCGGGUAACUGGAAGGCUGGGGGACGUGUGACUGAGUCGCAAUUUUGCUGGGAGUAGACGCACGUUCAGACCACCAUACCAAACAGUCUUGUCGGGGUUCGCCCUGGCUCGUCUGGGUGGCUCUCGCUUUGUGCUUCUGACCUAUCAACUAGAUGGCAGCGUAAGGGACAUGCUAUGGUGACAACGGGUACAGAAAAA